rnacentral:rRNA from 1 species
AUUGAACGCUGGCGGCAGGCCUAACACAUGCAAGUCGAGCGAGCGGCGGACGGGUGAGUAAUGUAUGGGGACUGCCCGAUAGAGGGGGAUAACUACUGGAAACGGUGGCUAAUACCGCAUACUAUCGGAUAGCCCAUAUGGGAUUAGCUAGUAGGUGGGGUAAAGGCUCACCUAGGCGACGAUCCCUAGCUGGUCUGAGAGGAUGAACAGCCACACUGGAACUGAGACACGGCCCAGACUCCUACGGAGGCAGCAGUGGGGAAUAUUCCGCAAUGGACGAAAGUCUGACCGAGCAACGCCGCGUGAGUGAAGAAGGUUUUCGGGUUGUAAAACACUGUUGGUGGGGAGGCGGUAUCAGAAGAGGAAGCCACGGCUAACUACGUGCCAGCAGCCGCGGUAAUAC